rnacentral:rRNA from 1 species
GACGAACGCUGGCGGCGUGCUUAACACAUGCAAGUCGAGCGGUAAGGCCCUUUCGGGGGUACACGAGCGGCGAACGGGUGAGUAACACGUGGGUGACCUGCCCUUAGCUCUGGGAUAAGCCUGGGAAACUGGGUCUAAUACCGGAUAUGACUCCAUGACGCAUGUUGUGGGGUGGAAAGCCUUGUGCGGCUAGGGAUGGGCCCGCGGCCUAUCAGCUUGUUGGUGGGGUGAUGGCCUACCAAGGCGACGACGGGUAGCCGGCCUGAGAGGGCGACCGGCCACACUGGGACUGAGACACGGCCCAGACUCCUACGGGAGGCAGCAGUGGGGAAUCUUGCGCAAUGGGCGAAAAGCCUGACGCAGCGACGCCGCGUGGGGAUGACGGCCU